AAUCUUCCGCAAUGGACGCAAGUCUGACGGAGCAACGCCGCGUGAGUGAAGAAUGAUUUCGGAACGUACAACUCUGUUGUUAGGGAAAAACAAGUAUCGGAGUCACUGCCGGUACCUUGACGGUCCCUAACGAUAAACCCACCGCUACCUACGUGCCAGCCUCCGCGGUAAUACGUAGGUGCCAAGCGUUGUCCGGAUUUAUUGGGCGUAAAGCGCGCGCAGGCGGUCUUUUAAGUCUGAUGUGAAAUCUUACAGCUUAACUGUAAGCGGUCAUUGGAAACUGGGAGACUUGAGUGCAGAAGAGGAGAGUGGAAUUCCAUGUGUAGCGGUGAAAUGCGUAGAGAUAUGGAGGAACACCAGUGGCGAAGGCGACUCUCUGGUCUGCAACUGACGCUGAGGCGCGAAAGCGUGGGGAUCAAACA
rnacentral:rRNA from 1 species